CCGAGUUUACCAACUCCCAAACCCCUGUGAACAUACCUGAACGUUGCCUCGGCGGGACCGCCCCGGCGCCCACAUCGCGGCCCGGAACCAGGCGCCCGCCGGAGGACCCAAACCAAACCCUUGAAUUUUUUAGAAUUAUUCUGAGUGAUUUACUAAAUAAAUCA
rnacentral:misc_RNA from 1 species